UUUAUUUCAAGUUUCUCUGGGAUAGGGGGGUAGUUGUCAACAAUAUUACCAAAGGAUGCAAGAUGGUGGCCAUGGGGCUUAUGUAACGUACUGUAUUAACAGUUAACUGAGUUGGGAGACAAAUAUCCUAGUUCUCCUGGAGAAUUGGGAGAUGGGUAGCCCCAGUCUCAGCUGUGAAGUAAGCCUGUCUCCAGUCCACCCAGCCCCCUGAGAAGGAAGGAGGUUUGGAUUCCUGGGAUUGAUGAGUUAUUUGCCCGUGGGUGUUGAAAGGAAGAGAGGAGGGAACCAGAAUGCAGAUUUCAGAGACAACUGUCUGAACCCUGCCACCCCUUCCCUCCUCAGCCAGGAGUUCCUGGAGAUAGUCGCCCCAGUUACCAUCGGCAAAUGUCAGAACCUAUUGUCCCUGCAGCUCCCCCGCCCCCUCAGGGAUUCAAACAAGAAUACCAUGACCCACUCUAUGAACAUGGGGUCCCGGGCAUGCCAGGGCCCCCAGCACACGGGUUCCAGUCACCAAUGGGAAUCAAGCAGGAGCCUCGGGAUUACUGCGUCGAUUCAGAAGUGCCUAACUGCCAGUCAUCCUACAUGAGAGG
rnacentral:sRNA from 1 species